GCCUCCGUGGCGCAAUUGGCUAGCGCGUUCGGCUGUAACCGGAAGGUUGGAGGUUCGAUCCCUCCCGGGGGCG
rnacentral:tRNA from 1 species